rnacentral:rRNA from 1 species
GACGAACGCUGGCGGCGUGCUUAACACAUGCAAGUCGAACGGAAAGGCCCUGCUUUUGUGGGGUGCUCGAGUGGCGAACGGGUGAGUAACACGUGAGUAACCUGCCCUUGACUUUGGGAUAACUUCAGGAAACUGGGGCUAAUACCGGAUAGGAGCUCCUGCUGCAUUGUGGGGGUUGGAAAGUUUCGGCGGUUGGGGAUGGACUCGCGGCUUAUCAGCUUGUUGGUGGGGUAGUGGCUUACCAAGGCUUUGACGGGUAGCCGGCCUGAGAGGGUGACCGGACAAAUUGGGACUGAGAUACGGCCCAGACUCCUACGGGAGGCAGCAGUGGGGAAUAGUGAACAAUGGGAGGAAGCCUGAUGCAGAAACGCAGCGUGCGGGAUGACGGCCUUCGGGUUGUAAACCGAUUUCGAAUGUGACGAAGCGUGAGUGACGGUAAUGGGUAAAGAAGGACCGGCUAACUACGUG